rnacentral:lncRNA from 1 species
CAAGGAGUGUGGAGACACUGUUAUGGCAUGCAGAUGGAAUGUAUAAGUACAUUCGCAUCGAAUGUGACUAUGUGCCGAGCAUUCUGCUGUCAAGAGUAGCUUGUGAAGGGUAUGGAUAUAAGUGUCCCUCUGAUCUGAGACCACCACGAUGAUUUGUAAGCAACUCACUGUACUUUAGUAUGGGACUAUCUAAAUUUCUAACUUAAUGAUAGAAGGAUACUAGA